UUAGGAUGAACGCUGGCGGCGUGCCUAACACAUGCAAGUCGAACGGAGUUACUCGCUGAUGAAGCUUCGGCAGAAUCUUGAGUAAACUUAGUGGCGGACGGGUGAGUAACGCGUGGGCAACCUGCCUCAUACUGGGGGAUAGCAGUUGGAAACGACUGAUAAUACCGCAUAAGCGCACGGUAUCGCAUGAUACAGUGUGAAAAACUCCGGUGGUAUGAGAUGGGCCCGCGUCAGAUUAGCUAGUUGGUAAGGUAACGGCUUACCAAGGCGACGAUCUGUAGCCGGACUGAGAGGUCGGACGGCCACAUUGGGACUGAGACACGGCCCAAACUCCUACGGGAGGCAGCAGUGGGGGAUAUUGCACAAUGGAGGAAACUCUGAUGCAGCGACGCCGCGUGAGUGAAGAAGUAUUUCGGUAUGUAAAGCUCUAUCAGCAGGGAAGAGAGGCUCGUAAGAGAGAUGACGGUACCUGACUAAGAAGCCCCGGCUAACUACGUGCCAGCCGCCGC
rnacentral:rRNA from 1 species